rnacentral:rRNA from 1 species
GAUGAACGCUGGCGGCGUGCUUAACACAUGCAAGUCGAACGAGAAGUGAAGACGGAAACCUUCGGGCGGAAGGCUUUAUUUCGAUUGGCGGUCGGGUGAUUAACGCGUGGGUAACCUGCCUCAUACAGGGGGAUAACAGUUGGAAACGACUGCUAAUACCGCAUAAGACCACAGCACCGCAUGGUGCGGGGGUAAAAACUCUGGUUGUAUGAGAUGGACCCGCGUUCGAUUAGCCAGUUGGCGGGGUAACGGCCCACCAAAGCGACGAUCGAUAGCCGAUCUGAGAGAAUGGCCGGCGACAUUGGGACUGAGACACGGCCCGAACUCCUACGGGAGGCAGCAGUGGGGAAUAUUGCACAGUGGGGGAAGCCCUGAUGCAGCGACGCCGGGUGAGUGAAGAAGUAUUUCGGGAUGUAAAGCUCUAUCAGCAGGGAAGAAAAUGACGGUACCUGAGGAAGAAGCCCCGGCUAACUACGUG